AAUCUUAUAUUUUAUUUUAAAAUAUUAAAUUGCAAGUUUAGAGAAGAAAAUUCUAAGAUUU
rnacentral:tRNA from 1 species